GCGUACGACUGAANAUCGUAAGGU
rnacentral:tRNA from 1 species